UGAAAAUAGAGUGACCCAAAUCUCUCGUGUGUGUUUGUGAGAGAGAAAGAAAUURAGCUGCAGUUCUGAGGUAGAGACACUGACUAUUCAUAGUAUGUUAAUUAAUUACAGUAAAGUAACCCUUUUGGACUACAUUAUCUGCCACAUUGAAGAACUCCGAGUUAAGUGAAUUAUCACUUCUACCUCUAAUCAGCAAUCAUAGGAUUCAUUCAUGCUCCUUAGAUGCCAGGUUAGGAUUACACACUAAUUUUCUGCCAUGGUCUAUGGACCCCCUGAAGUAGCCUUGGCCACCCCAUGUAUAAAACUCAUGUUCCGCCACUGCUUACAAACCCUAAUUUGACAAUUUGGAACAGCGCAUCUUGCCAUUUCAGCCUGGCGCAUUUUCAAUCUGCGCAAUCUCGAACAGCCUACUGUCACCCACAGAUUCACAGACUAGCAGCAAAUACAUUUGAAUGAAGCGGAAUCAGGAAAUGAAUGCCCACUCUCCAUUGCUAUUCAAUGAAGAUCCCACCUUCAUUCCGCUUUGAUCAACCUUUUCUGCCUCGUCGUGUGAAUCUGUGCCAGCAAUAGGCUAUUUUUAUAGACAAGCCAGGUCGUAAUUCCCCAAAAAUGAGAAAUGCCGGUACGGUGUUCCGGAAAUCUCUGGCCCAAAUCAACCACUAUUGCCGUCUGUGAACUGUCAUCUGUGUACCGCAUAGGCUAUUAACGCAUGGAGUCUUUUCUAAACAGAUGUUAUAACCAUAGAUAGUGGGCAUCUCUGACACCAGACUUUAAUUGACAUUUUCCUCAAUAGUACCACUGCAUAUGAUUUUACAACUCUUAGUAAAAACCCUUGUCAAAUCUGAUUGGCCUCCUCAAAGUUAGUCUCAGAAAUCCCAGACCUAGGGCAGUAUGCUGGAACAUUGUUAAUGUGGGAGGCAACCCGUCUACAAUAAAGACUCCAAUAAAGUAAUCAAACACUGAUUUGAUGCAAAUUAUCCUCAAAUUUCUACAGUAGAGCUGAUUGUUGUAGCCUAGCCUACCUUAGUCAAGGUUUGGGGGUCAAAUACACUCAUGGUGGGUACUUUACUUUUAUAUACAUAUUACCACACUGCUUACAAUCUGACUGUGGAAGUUAAGAUAUUUUAAGAAACAGUGCUUUGACACACACCCUGCUUUUCAGAUGUGCUCCGCCCAAAUGGCCCUCGCCAUUUUGAUUGGCAUUGCCACCAUUGAAACUGUGACUGGUUUUAGUAGCGGUGGUGUUGACAUGUCCUGUGGCACAAUGUUGCCCCAACAUGGUUCUCCCACACCUGAGAGUGGUCCGUUUAGUGUCCCAAAACAUUUCUGUUCCAGUGCUGCAGGAGAUGAGACUAUAGUGUCACUCCAAGCUGAUCCUGCCACUCCGUUUAAAGGGUUUCUGUUGGAGGCUAGGGAAUCACAGGAUGGACCUGCUGUUGGCACCUUCACUCUGCUCACUCYCRCUCAUAGCCGCCUUCUUCAGUGCAAUGGCAAUCCAGCAGCUGCUGUUACCCAACCCAACAACCAAGCCAAGACAUUCAUCGAAGCCAAGUGGAGAGCACCAUACAAUGGACUUUUCUAUUUCAGAGUCACAUUUAUUAAAAACAUGAUGAAGUUCUGGAUACCAGAGGCCAUUAACAUCACCACCUGUCCUACUACUACUACUACCCCUAUUACUACUACUACUAUCACAACUCCUACUAUCACUACUACUCUCAAUACU